rnacentral:rRNA from 1 species
UACGUAGGGGGCGAGCGUUGUCCGGAUUUACUGGGCGUAAAGGGCGCGUAGGCGGCGCAACAAGUCACUUGUGAAAUCUCCGGGCUUAACCCGGAGCGGCCAAGUGAUACUGUCGUGCUAGAGUGCGGAAGGGGCUACUGGAAUUCUCGGUGUAGCGGUGAAAUGCGUAGAUAUCGAGAGGAACACCUGCGGCGAAGGCGGGUAGCUGGGCCGACACUGACGCUGAGGCGCGAAAGCCAGGGGAGCAAACGGG